rnacentral:rRNA from 1 species
UACCAGCACCCCGAGUGGUCGGGACGUUUAUUGGGACUAAAGCAUCCGUAGCCGGUUCUACAAGUCUUCCGUUAAAUCCAGCUGCUUAACAGAUGGGCUGCGGAAGAUACUAUGGAGCUAGGAGGCGGGAGAGGCAAGCGGUACUCGAUGGGUAGGGGUAAAAUCCGUUGAUCCAUUGAAGACCACCAGUGGCGAAGGCGGCUUGCCAGAACGCGCUCGACGGUGAGGGAUGAAAGCUGGGGGAGCAAACCGG